UGAGCUAAAUUUCCUUCAGUAUCUCUUAUAAACACAAAUUUAAAGUAACUACUAUAUGUGAUAGAUUUAUAGAUUUUAAAAUACACCUAAUUGGCAAAUCAGCUGUUUUGAAAAUUAUUUAAAAAAAACAAAUUCCAUCUGUCUCUAUUAGAAAAUCUAUUUUGGAAUUCACUAAUGAGUUCUUAUUGGCUUGCACUUUAGAGUUUCUAUCAUGUGUCAAUUCCUUUUAAUUGAUUUUGAUGCUAUUCUCUUUAACAGAGUAGAAGAAAGUCUUUAAAAGAGCUCUAAAAGAACUUUCAAAGCUUUGCACUUUAUGUAUGCUCUAAGAUAUAUCAUAAAUUGCUUGAAUUCAUGUUUUGGUAUUUAUACUCCAAUGUUUUUAUAUCAUAAAAGAAUUUUGAAGUCAUUAAGAAUUAAUGAUCCAACAUGAUGUUAUAUUUUUCGAGUAUAUAAGUUUUGAUCUUAUACUCUGAAAAUUAAUUAGAUUGCUCUCAUGUUGCGAAAUACUUAAUAUAUUGAGCAAAAG
rnacentral:lncRNA from 1 species